rnacentral:rRNA from 1 species
CUUUGCAGACGACUUAGCUGUGCGAAACGGUCCUGUAAGCAGUAGAGUAGCCUUGUUGUUACGAUCUGCUGAGGGUAAGCCGUCCUUCGCCUCGAUUUCCCCAAUGGGUUCUCCGGAUUUCUGGAGACUUGUAGGGGUUGUGGGCUUUUUUCGAUGUGUCGUCUCUGGACGGGCGGUGCAGGGUAGUCGAGUUGGACUUGGUGGAAUUUCAUUCCGUCGAGUCUGGCGGGACUUUGUGCGGCUGUGUGCUGGACGGUGCAGGGUAGGCUGCUUGGUCUUGGUCGAUUUGAGGAUCGAUUCGAGGGCUGGGCGCUGGUAGCUUGAGGUGUAUGCGGUCUAGGGUAGGCUGGUUUGUCUUGGUCGAAUUUGAUGUUGGCUUCCGUGCGGACCAGAUCGAGCGUGGUACAGGUUAGGUACAGG